UACCGAGGUCUCGAGCGUUAGGCGGAAUCACUGGGCUUAAAGCGUGUGUAGGCGGGUCGUUAAGUGCCUUGUGAAAUCCCAUGGCUCAACCAUGGAACUGCUGGGCAUACUGGCGAUCUUGUGCCACCUAGGGGCGAGCGGAACAGAUGGUGGAGCGGUGAAAUGCGUAGAUAUCAUCUGGAACGCCAAUGGUGAAAACAGCUCGCUGGGGGUGUGCAGACGCUGAGACACGAAAGCCAGGGGAGCGAACGGG
rnacentral:rRNA from 1 species